rnacentral:rRNA from 1 species
GAUGAACGCUGGCGGCGUGCCUAAUACAUGCAAGUCGAGCGAACGGACGAGAAGCUUGCUUCUCUGAUGUUAGCGGCGGACGGGUGAGUAACACGUGGAUAACCUACCUAUAAGACUGGGAUAACUUCCGGAAACCGGAGCUAAUACCGGAUAAUAUUUUGAACCGCAUGGUUCAAAAGUGAAAGACGGUCUUGCUGUCACUUAUAGAUGGAUCCGCGCUGCAUUAGCUAGUUGGUAAGGUAACGGCUUACCAAGGCAACGAUGCAUAGCCGACCUGAGAGGGUGAUCGGCCACACUGGAACUGAGACACGGUCCAGACUCCUACGGGAGGCAGCAGUAGGGAAUCUUCCGCAAUGGGCGAAAGCCUGACGGAGCAACGCCGCGUGAGUGAUGAAGGUCUUCGGAUCGUAAAACUCUGUUAUUAGGGAAGAACAUAUGUGUAAGUAACUGUGCACAUCUUGACGGUACCUAAUCAGAAAGCCACGGCUAACUACGUG